GCCAAGGACACCAUCUUCUUGCCAAACGCUACACCGCCCUGCCGCAGACCGGCGACGCUGCGGAGGGAUUUGUGAGCCCUGAGUCAAUUCUGCCAAGGCUGUAGGAGGAGGUGGAUAUAAAUGGAACUCGUAGAUGUGUCACAUACUGGGGUGCACCACGAGAAGCAGGCUUACUGCCAGUCACACGUCCAUCAGUUAGGUCAGGGUUGGUUGAGGCCAAUGUCCACCUCGUCGUCAUGAAGUAAUGCUGGUUGCUACUGGUAGUGGUGCCCCUGCCAGCCCCUGUUUCCCCACCUUAGGUCCUGGUGUCUCCAUGAUGCGUGGACACAAACUGAUGAAAGCAGAAAGUAGAAUGGUGUUUCCCGGGAGUUUGGUAGAGGAGGACAGAGGGAGUUGCCUUUCAAUGGGUGUACAGUCUCAGUGAUGCGUGAUGGAAAGCUUCUGGAGAUGUGCUCUACAAUGCUGUGCUUGUAGUUAAAGGUUCGAAGCUCUAGGGAAAAAUACAGGAGACAAUAAGCCACCAUCACCUGUGGGAACUAGAAGAGCUCUAACAGUGGCACUCUCUGGACCCAGAGGGUGGAUGUUGCCCCUCCAAUGACAGCCAUCCACCUGGCCUGCCUCCGGCAGCUGUAAUGGAGAUGCUCAUACCCUCCCCAGACGGCCACAACAGGGAGCUUGCCAAGGUUUCUCUAUCACUGCGGUGGGCACUGUACAGAUGGAAUCCCACAUGUUGGGCAAAAGAUCAGGAUCCUUUUUGAUCUCCUGCACAGCAAACUCCAGAGCUGCAGCCUGUUGAUAGUUUCUGUGGAGACACUUGCAGUUUAGAGACAAUAUCAUAAUUAAGAACUUUCUUGAAAAUACAACUUGACCUCCAUGUGUCUGUGGGCUGGUUCCUUUUUAAACUUUAAGAUACCAGAAAUUAUGAGAUGUUAUCUCUUCAGACAUUAUAAAUAGUGUUUU
rnacentral:lncRNA from 1 species